ACAGAAAUGAUUGACAAAUUAGAACACAUGCUAAAAUGAGACUAAAAAUGGCAGAAUUGCCUGUAUGCCAACACACAAAUGCACUGCAGUUAAACAAACACAAUUAGCCUUCAAAAUGAUGAGGACAAUUCAAUUCUAUUUAUUCCAAGGACAUUAUGGAAUCUGGAUUUCUUGUAACUUGCAAAGAGCAAUUACUGCUGGUACCAAAGCCAACAAAAUCUGCGGCAAUUUUGACUCCAUGUUGCGCUUGAGUGGAAUCCAAGAUUUUAUCCCUUGCUAUUUAAAAUAUCUAAAAUUAUUGAGGGUCUUUUUAAAAAGGUAAGAGCAAAUGGGGAAAUAAACUCAAAUUCUAAACUGGAGUUGUUAGAAACACAGUUUUUCUCUCUAUCUAAUUACCCCAUUUAUGAAAAGGAGACUAUUACCAUCCCUCUGAAAUUUUGCAAGGCAAGCUGGGAAAAUAGGGGAGGAAUGCUAUAAAAUAAUUAUCAGCCUGUAUAAAACAAUCAAACAAACAAAUCAAGAUUAAAAAUUUCAUGCAGAAAGUAGUCACACAGAAGCUCUAAAAAGGUCAGAACAAACCACUGAACAGCUUUUUUUUGUAUGACUUCUCUGUUUUGAGGGCUUUCAUGUGGCACUAUGCCAUGAAAUAGAAAAACUGAGAUCUUUGGCUGAAUAACUGAAUACUACACCAAGGAGAACAACAAGGAUAACAGCUGAGGAGAUUAAAGAGCAAUGCAAACUCUGAAUGAUUCAAAAGCUACACAACACUGCUGCUUGAGAAAGAGGAAUCACGCUGGGCUCAACACUGCACGGAAUGAUUGUACAGCUUUUGGAUUAGAAGCGACUUGCAUUCAGAGAGCUCAGUGCAUGGACAAGAAAAGGUCACUUCUGAUACAGAAGACCAUGCAGCUGUAUCUCUUUGUUUGAAAGGAAACUGUCAAACAGCUUACUAAAAAGAAACCAAGCUUUACCAACAUGACAUUCAGAAGAAAUUAAUGCUGCCCUUGUUUAUGAACUCCCACCAAAUAUUUCUAGGUAUUUUGCUGGCUGGGCUUUAUCUCCUCUGCUGACACACAAGAAUUCACUACCUCCCUGCUGAAUAUCAAACAAGCUGCAGGAGCCAACUUUCUAUCAACUUAUGAAAGGUAUAUGCUCAUAGCAGUGACUAAGAAAUGUUGCAUUCUACUUAUCUUUCAAUAUUUUGUCCUGGUUUCUCGAAGGCCUUUAACUUACAGGCAAUUUACUUACAGGCAAUUUCAAAUCAAUCAAAACGUACAGGAGGAAUAAAAUGAUAUAUAAACAGUG